rnacentral:rRNA from 1 species
CAAUUGCUUAUAACCUUUUGGUUAUAAAUUAUAGGAAGUGGCAGACGGGUGAGUAAUGCGUAGGAAUCUACCUAGUAGUAUGGAAUAGCCAUUAGAAAUGAUGGGUAAUACUGUAUAAUCCCUGCGGGGGAAAGAUUUAUCGCUAUUAGAUGAGCCUACGUUAGAUUAGCUAGUUGGUAAGGCAAUGGCUUACCAAGGCUAUGAUCUAUAGCUGGUCUGAGAGGACGAUCAGCCACACUGGAACUGAGAUACGGUCCAGACUCCUACGGGAGGCAGCAGUGGGGAAUAUUGGACAAUGGGCGAAAGCCUGAUCCAGCUAUGCCGCGUGAGUGAAGAAGGCCUUCGGGUUGUAAAACUCUUUCAAUAGGGAAGAUAAUGACGGUACCUAUA